rnacentral:rRNA from 1 species
UACGUAGGGGGCAAGCGUUGUUCGGAAUUACUGGGCGUAAAGGGCUUGUAGGUGGCCAACUAAGUCAAACGUGAAAUCCCUCGGCUUAACCGGGGAACUGCGUCUGAUACUGGAUGGCUGGAGUUUGGGAGAGGGAUGCGGAAUUCCCGGUGUAGUGGUGGAAUGCGUAGAUAUCGGGAGGAACACCAGUGGCGAAGGCGGUUGCCUGGAGCUUUGCUGACGCUGAUGCGCGAAAGCGUGGGGAGCGAUCCGG